rnacentral:rRNA from 1 species
GGAAUAUUGCGCAAUGGCCGAAAGGCUGACGCAGCGACGCCGCGUGGGGGAUGACGGCCUUCGGGUUGUAAACCCUUGUCAGUGGGGAAGAAAAAAAUGACUGUACCCACAGAGGAAGCCCCGGCUAACUACGUGCCAGCAGCCGCGGUAAUACGUAGGGGGCGAGCGUUGUUCGGAAUUACUGGGCGUAAAGAGCUCGUAGGCUCGAAAUUAAGUCUUUGAACCAAUCUCCUGGCCCAACCGGGAACCAUUCAGGUAUACUGAUAUUCAUGAGAACAGGAGAGGGGAAUGGAAUUCCUAGUGUAGCGAUGAAAUGCGUAGAUAUUAGAAG